AUUUCAUAAUACACGCGGUAUUUUAUGCCCCUGAAUGAUAUGGACCGCUUGGAUGUGUGUGGAAGCGAUCGCUAUAUUUAUUUAGUUUUUUUUAAUCCCGCGCCAUGAAAAUGAGUGACUUCCGGCUUCGGUCUUGCAUUGAGGAGGAGGGCGCUGUGACGUGUACGGUAGAAGACGUUCUCUUCACUAUACAGUGUACUGUUGUGUAUGAGGACGAAGGAUUCAGCUGAUUUUGCGGAUUAAUACUUUUAUUUUUUGCAUCACGCCAGCCAAACGGCUGCAGAAAAAUCUUUCUGUAUGCGGGAGAGGCGUAUGCGCCUUUUUGGAGUUUCAAAAGGUUCCCAUUCACUGUGGAUAUUUACUGUGGGACCAUUGGACUUACAAGGAAUCGGAACAAACACCAGGACCCACUGCUGCCCUCGAGGAGGCCCUGGUCUAGAGGCUUUGGAAAGUCGACAGAUAGAGCAAGAAAGUCACCAAGCUGGCAACACUGCUUCUUGGUAGUGUGGCCAUUUCCACAAGAUCAAAAAGGAGGUCACUGAUGGAUUUACCUGGGACUUUAGGAGCGGGGCUGCCACUGACAGAUUGACCAACGAAAACCGGAGAUAUGAUCCUUUUAAUUUCAACAUGACGAUACAAUCACCUGACAAAGGCACCUAGGAGGUGAGUGAAUGAGUGAUGCCUGCUCUGCUCUGCUCUGCUCCGCUACCGCCGCUCUUCGCGUGCGUUCGCCCGCCCACCCGUGGGUGGAAGGCUGAUGAGGAAGAGGAGAGAUCAUCCUGCCAUAAACUCUGUUUGAACCACCUCUCUUUGUCCCUCGGGGUCACA